UUGAUUAGCAUAAUAAUAAUAAUAGACCCAGUCCACCAGCUCACUACCACAAGAUCUCCCGCCUCCGGCGAGCGGCAUGCCUGCGCCACCACCGCCGACUGGCGGGAGGCGGUGGUGGAAGCACCGGCUGAGCCCCACGCUCGCACGGGACCGCUGCUACGCCCGUUCCUUCCGCUCGGCCGGGCUCCGCCAGGCCGCCGUGCCGCUUCCGGACGGCGCCGUCGUCCAUUUCUGGGUCCCGCGCCCCGACCCGGCCCUGCGCCCCGUCCUCCUCCUCCACGGCUUCGGCGCCAACGCCACCUGGCAGUGGGCCCCCUUCCUCCGCCCGCUUCUCGCCGCCGGCCUCGCCCCUUUCGUCCCAGACCUCGUCUUCUUCGGCGACUCCGCCUCCCCUACGGCCGACAGAUCUCCGGCCUACCAGGCCUCCUCCGUCGCCGCCGCCAUGGCUGCUCUCCCCGGCGCGCCUCAAAGGUACACCGUCGUUGGCGUCAGCUACGGUGGCUUCGUGGCCUACCACCUCGCCCACGCAUUCCCGGCCGUGGUAGAGCGGCUCGUGCUCGUCGCGGCAGGUGUGUGCCUUGAGGAAACCGACCUCGCGGCGGGGCUGUUCGCCGUGGAGGAUAUCAAGGAGGCCGCCAGCCUGCUGCUGCCGCAGCGGCCGGAGGAUCUCAGGAGGCUGGUGGGGCUCACCUUCUGCAAACCGCCAAAGUUCAUGCCGUCCUGCUUCAUCAGGGAUUACAUCACGGUUAUGUGCACUGAAAAUGUAAAAGAAAAGACCGAGUUGUUAUAUGCCUUGAUCAGUGGCAGGAAGCUUUCAGACCUUCCUAAAAUUAACCAGCAAACCUUGAUAAUUUGGGGAGAGCAAGAUAGAGUGUUUCCAUUAGAACUUGGCCUACGGCUGCAAAGACAUUUGGGAGAUACAUCGGAAUUAAUCAUCGUCAAGAAUGCUGGCCAUGCCAUAAACCGUGAAAAGCCAGCGGAGCUUUGCAGACUUAUAACAAACUACAUCAUUGAUCCCUCGGUUAAAUACAGGGAUAGUCGCAAGGGAUGUUGGAAGUUUGCAUUAAGAAGAUUUGCUGGGGCCAGCCUGAGGAAGAUGGACUCGAGCCGACCGCUGAUAUGAUGCAUAUGUACACUGAUGAAUAUAUCAUCAGGAGGAGCACUUGAGCAGGACCAAAUUGAGCCUCUCAGAACUGAUGCCGCGAUUGGGACUAUCAGUAAUAUUAUAUGAGCAGGAGAUAUCACUAUUAGCACUGGAGCAACUGGAGGCAAAAUCAGGCAGCCAAUAUUCUUCAGGUUCAGACAUUGUUCCGCAGAAGAUCGAUGGGUCGUCUGAUUGCCAAAUUCUCCGUCUCGCAUCUCCAUCGAGGUCCGAUUGAUGAUACCUAUGAUAUCAUUAGGCUGCCGAAUGAUAAUGAUAAGAUAUAUGAAUAUAUCAUUAGGCUCUGGAGGCGUCAGGCGGGGUGCACGCUGAGCCUACGACAACCGGAGGUUUGUAUGAGAUCAAGAGAAAGAAAUGAACUGGUAAUAAUUAUAGUUGACAGAAUAUAAUUUUGGUAUUGUGGGUCUUUUUUGUUUUGUUUUUUUAGAUCUUGGUAUUGUGAAGUUGUUAGUAUGGAAGAUAACUGGUGAUGAGGCCAGAGCAAAAUUA